rnacentral:lncRNA from 1 species
CGCGUCGCACAACGACGUGUGCACAGCCCGCCGUUGUAUAUGUGUGUGUGUCUGCUAUAGAUUCGUGAGUGGGGGGUAUACAACAACAACAAGAGAGUGAAGUUGUGCGUGCAAAUCAUUUGGUCAUUCAUCUCUCCGGGAAUUAAUAACCGCAGCUACAGGACUAUACACGAAUAGCCAUUCAAAGGCAAAAGAAGAAGAGAAUACAAGGAGCCUCGAUGUCACUGGUGGCCGUCAUCGCUGGCUGCACUGCAAGCCGGUGGUUGUUGGCCAGCAUUCCGGUUCAACCACGCAUAAUAAGAGGACAGAGACCUGAGUAGCACCCAAGCCCAUGACAGUAGCUUCUGGAAAAGUCGUGUUAUCUUCGUUGUAGCAGAUGAAGUCGACAUGGCCCGCAGUGAAUGCCAUUGACGAAGAUGUCUGUGUCCCAAAAGUCAAAAUUGUGACAGCUGUGCGAUAAUGAUUAAUCUCUAUGUACCGACCUCGAUGACUGCCAGAUUAUUCAAGCCUAGAUUCGCGUCAUAGUUCUCGUGUGGAAUGAUGCUGAUGACUUGAUAUCGACGCUCGUACGGCUCGGUGCUGGAGAUGAGAGACAAUUGUCCUACAACAACUGAAACUUGCGACGGUGACAAACUGUUGGAUAUUGACAAAUAUUUAUCCUGGAAUUAAUUGUCUCAUAAGUGGUGCUCCCAUUUUUCCAACGUGGAAGUAAUAUUUCCCUUCGCAGAGGUUGAUGUCUUUGUGACACUUUUCUAACCAAAGGCGUAUCAUGGUUUAUAAACUGGAGGUCGAAGAACUGUAGUCUGCUUGCUUUGGUGUCUGCUUAAGCUUAAGAAAAUGUUGGUGCAUCUACUACGCGGAAUUUUUGCGCUGGCUUCCCGGAUCUUAAUUGAUCCCCGGAUAGUCGAGAGCUGGACUAGAUGUAGCCGCUGGUAUUGCUGAUCAGCUAGAAUUACACCCAAGCAGCUGGGAGAGGCUUCCUCAAACUCGCUCUAGCUCGUUUGGUAAGAACUAAUGGAAAUUUAUUUUUCUUACAUUGUUCUGCCUUUUUAAAAAUUACCCUCCUUUCUCUCUCCUUUUCUCUUAUAUCCCUUUUAAAUAAUCAUAAAAGAAGAAAAAAAGCGUGCAAAAAUGUAAUUGGAACAAAUGCUUAAUGAUAAAUCAUUUUAAUUUUUCGUUCUGACGGUCGACAUGUAGGAUUGAAUCGAUAUAGUCGGAUUGAGAAGAAGCUGCUUGCUUUUUCAGAUUGUUUUUAAUGGAAAUCUCAGUCGUGUAUCAGUCCUGUAAAUCAUUAAUCUUAGUUUUUUUAAAUGUAAUCUUUGUAGAUGACAAGGAAAUUUGAUUUAAAACAAAAUCAGUCGUUUCUGUUUGGAUUACUCACAAGAUAUGUGGGAACUUCCUUUUGCUUGAAGACAAUGAAGCAUCCCAAUGGGUAUGAAACCACAUUGUCAGUCUACGGAGAGUCUUCUGCAGUAACACAUUGUGAUCGUGUGAUGGAUCGGUCGAAUAAUUAUUGCCUAUUACGGUACAUCAACAACCUUGUAGUCAAUAAGUACAUGACUUGGAUGUCCGGGUACGACGGGCAUCGAAAUAACUAUCCUGUACGAUAUCGUUAUCCGGCCCAGACAGAAAGGUUUCGAAUCGCUAUAGUACCAUCAAUCAAGUUUAUCCUGAAAGUAAUGAGCGUGAUGAUGAUUCCGGUCGUGAACGAGCUGGGGUCGUUCAUAAUUACGCUUACCAGAACUCUGUAUUAAACUACAACUACGGAUGUCAACGUAAUACCAACGAAUAUCAUCAACCUGACAGUAAUGGGGUGCGUCUGCCGAACCUGAUACGCAAAUACAAGACGACGCUCCAUAUGCUGACUCUAAUAACCCGGUUAGUGUAAUAGAAUUUGAAAGCCCAGACCAUGUUCCACCAAAAAAUGAUAACCCGGGUCCCGGACUGGAUUAUGAUCCAAUGGACGCUAAUACACAGAACCAGAAACAACAGAUGCGGCGUACGAAGAAGAAAAAGCCGAUCUGGAAGCAGAGGACCAUCACGAAAUUUCACCAGAUGCAGCACCGGAAGCAGAUAAGGAAGUUGGUCAAUCAAAUUUUGAAGAUCCCCCGUCAUAUCAAACUAUGAUUCCAAAUGUAUCGGAGAACAUUGAAAAAUCCCCGAAUAGGUCCAUGAAGUAGGCCUACUACCUCCAAUUAAAAAAAGCAAAAAUGGGUUUCUUAAAAAAAUAAAUUUGUUUUAACCAAGGAGACCGGGUGAUGCAAAAAAAAGAUAAGAUUAAAGAUAAAUUUAAAAAAAAAAAAAAAAAAAGAAAAUCCACGCAAAAAAAGAGCGCAGCCCUCUGUCCUUUUUGCUGGACUCUCCUAAGUGUAGGCCUAAGUGACGUAACCAAGAGACAAAAAAUUCAAGUCAUAUGAUUUCUUUUUCAUCGACAUCAACAUCCUCUUCUUCCUCACUAGCUUGUUCGCUUCUUCAUCAUCAACACCCACUUCUUCCUCACAUUCUUCUUUAUCAAAUUUUCAAUUCACCCGUGAGAUGUAAUCUUGGAAUUAUAUCACAACCAAAUAUUGUUUUGUAGUGGUGAAAUAAAAAAAAAUAAAACCUAUA